AUGGCNGUNGUCAGCUCGUGUCGUGAGAUGUUGGGUUAAGUCCCGCAACGAGCGCAACCCUUGUCAUUAGUUGNUACGNAAGGGCACUCUAAUGAGACUGCCGGUGACAAACCGGAGGAAGGUGGGGAUGACGUCAAGUCCUCAUGGCCNUNNUNNGUGGGGCUACACACGUCAUACAAUGGNGGGUACAGAGGGUUGCCAACCCGCGAGGGGGAGCUAAUCCCNUAAAACCCGUCGUAGUCCGGAUCGCAGUCUGCAACUCGNCNCC
rnacentral:rRNA from 1 species